GCGGACAGUAGGGAGCUUGCUCCUGUAGUUAGCGGCGGACGGGUGAGUAACACGUGGGUAACCUGCCUGUAAGACUGGGUAACUCCGGGAAACCGGGGCUAAUACCGGAUGCUUGUUUGAACCGCAUGGUUCAAACAUAAAAGGUGGCUUCGGCUACCACUUACAGAUGGACCCGCGGCGCAUUAGCUAGUUGGUGAGGUAAUGGCUCACCAAGGCAACGAUGCGUAGCCGACCUGAGAGGGUGAUCGGCCACACUGGGACUGAGACACGGCCCAGACUCCUACGGGAGGCAGCAGUAGGGAAUCUUCCGCAAUGGACGAAAGUCUGACGGAGCAACGCCGCGUGAGUGAUGAAGGUUUUCGGAUCGUAAAGCUCUGUUGUUAGGGAAGAACAAGUACCGUUCGAAUAGGGCGGUACCUUGACGGUACCUAACCAGAAAGCCACGGCUAACUACGUGCCAGCAGCCGCGUUAAUA
rnacentral:rRNA from 1 species